UGGGGGAAUAUUGCACAAUGGGCGCAAGCCUGAUGCAGCCAUGCCGCGUGUGUGAAGAAGGCCUUCGGGUUGUAAAGCACUUUCAGCGAGGAGGAAGGUGGUGAGCUUAAUACGCUCAUCAAUUGACGUUACUCGCAGAAGAAGCACCGGCUAACUCCGUGCCAGCAGCCGCGGUAAUACGGAGGGUGCAAGCGUUAAUCGGAAUUACUGGGCGUAAAGCGCACGCAGGCGGUUUGUUAAGUCAGAUGUGAAAUCCCCGGGCUCAACCUGGGAACUGCAUUUGAAACUGGCAAGCUAGAGUCUCGUAGAGGGGGGUAGAAUUCCAGGUGUAGCGGUGAAAUGCGUAGAGAUCUGGAGGAAUACCGGUGGCGAAGGCGGCCCCCCUGGACGAAGACUGACGCUCAGGUGCGAAAAGCGUGGGGAGCAAAACAGGAUUAGAUACCCUGGUAGUCCACGCUGUAAAACGAUGUCGA
rnacentral:rRNA from 1 species